rnacentral:pre_miRNA from 1 species
GUGCGGUAUGGCUCCGAAACGCGGCUGGCCAUGCCGUACGGCGUUUCCCUUUCGAGAAACGCCGUACAGUACGGCCAGCAGCGUUUCGGGGCCGUAUCGUAC